AUUGAACGCUGGCGGCAGGCCUAACACAUGCAAGUCGAACGAGUGGCGGACGGGUGAGUAUGUUUGGGAAACUGUCGCAUGGUGGGGGGUAAUUACUGGUAACAGUAGCUAAUACCGCAUAGCGCCGGAUGUUCCCAGAAGGGAUUAGCUAGUAGGUGGGGUAAUGGCUCACCCAGGCGACGAUCCCUAGCUGGUCUGAGAGGAUGACCAGCCACACUGGAACUGAGACACGGUCCAGACUCCUACGGGAGGCAGCAGUGGGGAAUAUUGCACAAUGGGCGCAAGCCUGAUGCAGCCAUGCCGCGUGUAUGAAGAAGGCCUUCGGGUUGUAAAGUACUUUCAGCGAGGAGGCGUUACUCGCAGAAGAAGCACCGGCUAACUCCGUGCCAGCAGCCGCGGUAAUUC
rnacentral:rRNA from 1 species